GGCGCAGCAAGCUCAGCCCGCCCCCGUCUGUCCCGCCCCUAAUCGCACAGCAGAAGUUCGUUUGGUUUUCGGCUCCGCCCGCCUUUCUGAAGAGAAAGUGAGGAGGCAAAUUCGCUGUUUUCUCAGUCCUCCUCCUCCCGCCCCCUCGAGUCACGUGAUCCAUUUGGUCCGGCCUUUCCGCACCGGACUUCAACACUUGGCCGCAGGAGCCAGCUGCGGCACCUGCCGGGGUGUUGUAUCACAGUACCUUCAGUUUGUUACCGGCUGGGCAAUAUUUUCAAUUCUUUUUAAACGUUUAUUCAUUUCUGAGAGACAGAGAAAGAGAGCAAGCAGGGGUGGGGCAGAGAGGGAGGGAGACACAGAACCUGAAACAGGCUCUAGGCUCCGGAGCUGUCAGCACAGAGAUGAUGACCUGAGCCUAAGUCGGAUGCUUAACUCACUGAGCCACCCAGGCACCGGUGGGCAAUUUCUGAAUUCCGCUCUUUGUCCUUCCACCUGGAUGAGUUUCUUCCUCCGCAGGUCAAAAAAGGCCCCUUCAAGCUUAUUCGUUUGUUCAGCAAAUACUAUUAUGUAUCUGGAGCUCUAUUGUGGGCUGGAUUUACGAAGAUGAACAUGGCAGGUAUCUAUGAAAGUCUGGC